GACGUAGGUGGCAAGCGUUGUUCGGAAUCACUGGGCAUAAAGCGCACGUAGGCGGCCAAGUCAGUCAGGUGUGAAAUACCUCGGCUCAACCGAGGAACUGCGCCUGAUACUGCUUGGCUUGAGGUCCGGAGGGGAGAGUGGAAUUCCCGGUGGAGCGGUGAAAUGCGUAGAUAUCAGGAGGAACACCGAUGGCGAAGGCAGGUCUCUGGGCUGACACUGACGCUCAUGCACGAAAGCGUGGGGAGCAAACAGG
rnacentral:rRNA from 1 species